rnacentral:rRNA from 1 species
GAUAAACGCUGGCGGCGCACAUAAGACAUGCAAGUUGAACGGACUUAAUCGAAAUAUUUAUAUUUUGAAGCGGUUAGUGGCGGACUGGUGAGUAACGCCUAAGGAACCUGCCUAUUAGAGGGGAAUAACAGUGAGAAAUCAUUGCUAAUACCGCAUAUGCCAUAGAUAUCACAUGAUAACAGUGGGAAAGGAGCAAUCCGCUAAUAGAUGGCCUUGCGUCUGAUUAGAUAGUUGGUGGGGUAACGGCCUACCAAGUCGACGAUCAGUAGCCGGACUGAGAGGUUGAACGGCCACAUUGGGACUGAGAUACGGCCCAGACUCCUACGGGAGGCAGCAGUCGGGAAUAUUGCGCAAUGGAGGAAACUCUGACGCAGUGACGCCGCGUAUAGGAAGAAGGUUUUCGGAUUGUAAACUAUUGUCGUUAGGGAAGAGAAAGGACAGUACCUAAGGAGGAAGCUCCGGCUAACUACGUG